rnacentral:lncRNA from 1 species
AAAUUGAGUGGAAACAUAUUCAUUCUGAGACUGAUUGAGACAUAAAAAUUCCCUCCAGACAGAAAGAGAGUCUUUCCUGCACGGAGUAGUGAAUAACGAAAGUGAGAUGUGCUUGGUUGUUGACCAACAGAAAGGAUGCAUGGGAAAAAGAAAGAUUAACAAACGAAUAAGAUCUCGACGCCAGGGAGUUGAACCUGGAAUCAAGCUUUGACGGAGCGGCGCACGCAACCUCGGUCAUCUCGUCAUAGGUAAUUAGAGAUCGUUGCCCAUCACUCAGCGGUUUUGGAGUAGGAAUCGUCUUUCGCUACCAUGAGAUGGAAGCGCUACAACGAAAGUGGUUCACAUCACCUACGUAAUUUCAACAAUUGCGACUAGUUAAGUUAAGGCUGCUUUACCUACCUCUCCUUAACAGUCGAGCAUCGCUAAAGACCUCUCUCUACCGGUCUACUAUCUUCGUUCCUAACUAAACGACGGGUCGACUUGCAUGUGUUAAGCAUAUAGCUGAAGUAGCAUGAUUGGAGGCUCUUAAAGCUUAGGUAGGCUACUUACUAUAAGCUUCAACCUCCUCUUACUUAGAUAGAGGCGAGAGUCGCGUAGAAAGUCUUUCUUAUUCAAUUGAUAGAAGAUCACUCCCCCAAAAAAGCCGCCUCCUUUAUAUACGAUACCACCAGACGCGCCCCUCAGUUCUCAUUUUGCUUCACAAACUAACCAAACUAUUUCUUUAUGAGUAUGA